CCGCUAUGGUGAAAUUGGUAGACACGCUGCUCUUAGGAAGCAGUGCUAAUGCAUCUCGGUUCGAGUCCGAGUGGCGGCAU
rnacentral:tRNA from 1 species